rnacentral:lncRNA from 1 species
UGUGAUGCUGAAUCAUGGAGUGGAAGUGUAAAGCAGGUGUCUUCCUUGGCUUUCAGUCACAUUUGUGGCUUCGUUUCCUUUAGUUGUUGUGGAAGGGGCUGUGAUCUGAACUUGUCACCACUGAAACUGAGGAGAGGAUUCCCUUACACAUGGAUUCACUGAAGGUGUAAGGUGCUCAGCUGAGUUAAAAGAACUCAGGCCGUCAGAUGGGCUGACCUAAAGUGCAAGAUCUGAAUCCUGGGAUUGAAGGCAUUUAACACCAAACAAAAAUAUAUUAUCACCCAUACCUUAAGCAACACCAUGAGACCCUCCAAAGGGGAAUUACAGCUUAUUUUCGAGGGUCAGUACACGUUUACUCAAGUCCUUAUGAGUUCAGUUGCUAGUCUCUCCUUUCUCUCCCAUCUUCACAGACAUAUUUUACAGCUACCAGCCACACCUACUGUAUCUUUAUUAUUAAUUCAUAGAACUUCUGUUACAAG